AAGAGGUGAGAAUGUGCCUCCAGGAACCAGCACUGGAAAUUCCCACUCAGCUGAGGAAUGCACAGGCAUUCCUGGAGCUGCACAGAAGCACAUUGUGGAAGCUGGGAUGUCCCUGGGGAAACAUAGGUCACUUCCCGCAUCGAUGGUGACAGGUCAGGUCCUCCGGGUAGCAGAAAUGGCAUCAGUUGGGAGUGCUGGAGACUGCGUAGGAGGUAAGCCUUGUUAACAUAAUAGAAGGGUGAAGCAGGAAUGGGCAGAAAAAGACUUC
rnacentral:lncRNA from 1 species